rnacentral:rRNA from 1 species
GACAGAGGUGGCAAGCGUUGUUCGGAAUCACUGGGCUUAAAGGGCGUGUAGGCGGCAUUGCAAGUCUGGGUGGAAUCGGUGGCUUAACCACCGAACUGCCCUGGAAACUGCAUUGCUUGAGUCAGUGAGGGAGGUAGAAUUCCCGGUGUAGUGGUGAAAUGCGUAGAUAUCGGGAGGAAUACCAGAGGCGAAGGCGACCUCCUGGGUCGUACCUGACGCUCAGAUGCGAAAGCUAGGGGAGCGAACGGGAUUAGAAACCCGGGUAGU